rnacentral:rRNA from 1 species
GACGAACGCUGGCGGCGUGCUUAACACAUGCAAGUCGAACGAAGUGGCGAACGGGUGAGUAACGCGUAAUCAACCUGCCCUUCAGAGGGGGAAAACAGUUGGAAACGACUGCUAAUACAGCAUACGGACGGGGGGGAUUGAGUCGGAUUAGCUAGUUGGAGGGGUAACGGCCAACAAAGGCGAUGAUCAGUAGCCGGUCUGAGAGGAUGAACGGCCACAUUGGGACUGAGACACGGCCCAGACUCCUACGGGAGGCAGCAGUGGGGAAUCUUCCGCAAUGGACGAAAGUCUGACGGAGCAACGCCGCGGGAGUGAUGACGGCCUUCGGGUUGUAAAGCUCUGUUAAUCGGGACGCGGUACCGGAAUAGAAAGCCACGGCUAACUACGUGCCAGCAGCCGCGGUAAUAC